rnacentral:misc_RNA from 1 species
AACGCAAAUUGCGCCUUCUUUCGGAGGGCAUGUCUGUUUGAGGGCACCAUUUAACAAAUAAUGUGCGUGUCGUUUACGGACGACGUGCGCACGUUGAUGAGCUUUUCCGAAAAAACCAGGUUUUUUUGGUGGCGCAUAAUGAACAGCGUGGGCUUUUUUCUUCGAUUCUCGUGUAGUAAAUCUUCAACGCUUGGGUUGAGAAAAAGUGCGUGCCGCGCAAUGGGUGUGGCGAAGUUUACCCCUGCCCCAAUGCCACUCUUUCCCUGCGAAAGAACAUCUUUUAUUCAGGGCCUCAAAUCAGACAAGAGUACCCGCUGAACUUAA